CAGGAGAGUAAGCAGGCCAAGGGUGGAGGAGGAGAGGGACAGAGCUAGAGGAGACACUUGGGUGCGAGCGUGCGAGCGGGAGAGCGGAGGCGGAGACGAGUAGGAGCGCGGCGGCGGAGGCGGAGACGAACGGGAGCGCGGCGGCGGUGGCGGAGACGGAGACGAGCGGGAGCGCGGCGGCGGAGGCGGAGACGAGCGGGAGCGCAACAGCCCGGCAAAGGAGGAGGUGCGGGGGAACCACGAGUAGUCCUUUUCGCGCCGAGCCGCGGCCGGGAGCACUCACUCCAUCCUGCGCGCGUCCUCCCUCGCCGCUUCGUUCCACCCCAGCCAGCUCCACUCGACGGAAAGGAGAAGCGCACAAUCAAAAGGUGCAACAAGAAUCAACUAAACACUAGAACAAACGUACGUCCAGAGACAGCUAGACGACAACACCAGUAGCUAAACGUCCAUAUACACAUACAUACACGAGAACAACCGACGAUCGAAGAGGAGUGGAGACUAAAGGGGAACAAAAGGAGCGUCUAAGCAGCCCACAACGGCUACGGAGGAAACUAGACUGGGCCAACGCAGAAGCAAGUACCUAGACUCAAACCCUCUCUAUGUUGUCUCUUCUGGUGGUCUCUUUGCCAGCAGGGCCUGGGUCUGAUAGUAGCGAUAUGAACCCUAUAGACCACACAGACGUAUACGUAUUUUAGAAGAACGGCGACGUGGACAUCUGGAUGACCCCGACGAAGAGAACAAAGUACUAAACUGCCUCUCGAGUAAAGUACAAAACCUAGAGAACGGUCCAAACAAAUACAGAACCUAACCUCGUCGCUGCGUUCAUCCCUCUCCAGCAACGGAUCUGACAAAGAGGAGAGUAGUAGCACCGAACGUCCAGUGGUGACAGUGUUUACAAUGAAAAGUAAAUGUAAGUGUACUACAACAUCACAAGGUCCGUACUUUUGCUGUUUUAUAACACCGGCCGACGGUGGCUGGCUGAGCUCGAGCGAAGUCGGAGGAGGAUGCUAGGACGUCGAUGAUGGAGGGGUUCGUUUCAGUUGGAUGUCGUUGUUCCACUCGGAGAAUGGGACGUUAAAAAUAACAGAAAAAAGACGUGACUUACGAACGAGGAACGAAAAAAUGAAACAUCACAAAGAAAAGAUGACUUGGCACUUUAACCGCACAUACUAAAGAUCUUCGAUAGAGAGAAAAUACGUCAUUAACUGAAACACAAUCGUAAACCAAAGCUUUUUACAGUAACAUGUUGGACUGGUUAAGAACCACGAUUAACAAAGUAGGAAAGCAUAAAAUUCAAACGCUUAAAUUCCGAGAUGGUAGUAUGUUUCCGUUUGUAAGUACACCUAAACCUAAUUCACGUGGAGGAAAAGUAAUAAGGUUAAUUACUCACGAGUGUCUUUUCCUAUGCUACGAUUCUAAACGGUAUUAUCUAAGAACUGAACGGUAUUUAAGUUUAUUCCUAACUUAUAUAAACAUCAAUUUGGUAAGAACGAGUCCAAAGUCUAAAGAGUUAGGUAUAAAGACACGUUUAUAGUUAAGAACUGUCCAAUAAGUCAUUAGAGCGUGUACAAGCAAAAGUGAUAUAUAGUAGUCAUAAUUUCAAGUAUGUACUAUGCAAUAUAAGAGCCGAAAUCUUGUAAUUUCAAGCAUGUACUAUGGAAUAGUAGUCAUCAUUUCAAGUAUGUCACAAGAGGACGAAUCAGAUGUAGUCUAUCCCUGAAAUUUGUACUAGUCAAAUCUAUUACUGUCCGUAGGAGUUCAUGUACAUUUUGGUACCAUAGGAGUUCGGUACCAACCCCUUCCUAUUUUAAUCUUUUCCUUUUCUCCCAGGAUUGUACAAAUCAUGGUAGAAUACCCAACAAAACUCCAGCGUCUAGACAUCGUAUGAUUGUAUACAAGACGAUAGAAAGGAUGAAAAGACAAUUAAACACGAGACUUAUACUAGUACACUGGACGAAAGAAGUCAAGUAAACGAAGUCUAGUACACCAGACGAAAGAAAAGAAGAGGUAUGUUCGAUGUACAAUGCCAAUGUAUGUACACCCUCGUCUAAUUUAGACAGGUAAGUUAACAUCAGUAUUAAAAGAAUUUACCUAAAUAAAGUUCCGGACAAUACAUAACAAGUGUAGAAGACGGAAAGUUCACACAACCAUCGUGUGGAAAAUAAUAAUUGGUUGUGUACAUAACAAGUACAGAAGACGUAACAAGUAACUCGUGUUUCCAUAGUGAUAAAUCCAUUAAACAUACUACCCAAUAUCCUGACAUACUGACGAUUGGUUAAAUAGGAAAAUUGUCUUGUACCAAACUACUUUCCUCCCACUACCUACGCGGUACACCGUUCAGUGGACCUAACACAGUACAACCGUCCCACUACCUACACGGUACCCCGUUCAGACAGACGACUUACCACACCUGCCUUCUCGCUGUUAUUGAUACCCCAACCAGUUUCCAACUUUCUUUAGAGAAUACACAGAAGCCAGAGCUGUGGUGCACAUCCAAGUACACUACACCGCAUAUUUUCCAGCUUACAGUUCUGCUAGUCCACUUACAUAGGUUUUUAUAAGAAAACACCUUGAUAUAUACAAGAAACAGAGUGUGACGACAACACCGAAAGAAAAGAACAUACUUUUCAUGUGAUAGAUAGAUUUGAACUACACCUAACUAGCUGGAACGAGCGAAAACCGUGUUCAUAUAUAAAGGUAAAGGA
rnacentral:rRNA from 1 species